GGAGGAAAAGAAACUAACAAGGAUUCCCCUAGUAACUGCGAGUGAACCGGGAAAAGCUCAAAUUUUGAAUCUGGCGAUCUUUAUGGUCGUCCGAAUUGUAAUCUAGAGAAGUGUUUUCCGCGCUGGACCGUGUAUAAGUUUCCUGGAAUGGAACGUCGUAGAGGGUGAGAAUCCCGUCUUUGACACGGACUACCAGGGCUAUGUGAUGCGCUCUCGACGAGUCGAGUUGUUUGGGAAUGCAGCUCAAAUUGGGUGGUAAAUUCCAUCUAAAGCUAAAUACAGGCGAGAGACCGAUAGCGAACAAGUACCGUGAGGGAAAGAUGAAAAGAACUUUGGAAAGAGAGUUAAACAGUACGUGAAAUUGCUGAAAGGGAAACGCUUGAUGUCAGUCGCGUUCGCCGGGGAUCAGCCUUGCUUAAUCGCUCGGCGUACUUCCUGGUUGACGGGUCAGCAUCAAUUUUGAUCGUCGGAAAAUGGCUUGAGGAAUGUGGCACUCUUUCGGGAGUGUGUUAUAGACUCGGGUCGAAUACGAUGGUUGGGAUUGAGGAACUCAGUACGACCUUAGGGUUCGGGACUUCGGUCUACGUUUGCGUGCUUAGGAUGCUGGCAUAAUGGCCUUAAGCGACCCGUCUUGAAACACGGACCAAGGAGUCUAACGUGCAUGCGAGUGUUUGGGUGUUCAAACCCGAGCGCGUAAUGAAAGUGAAAGUCGAGACCUCUGUCGUGGAGGGCACCGACGCCCGGACCGGAGCUUUUGCUAUGGAUCUGCGGUAGAGCAUGUAUGUGGGACCCGAAAGAUGGUGAACUAUGCCUGAAUAGGGUGAAGCCAGAGGAAACUCUGGUGGAGGCUCGUAGCGAUCUGACGUGCAAAUCGAUCGUCGAAUUUGGGUAUAGGGCGAAAGACUAAUCGAACCAUCUAGUAGCUGGUUCCUGCCGA
rnacentral:rRNA from 1 species